UAGCUCAGUUGGUUAGAGCGUGGUGCUAAUAACGCCAAGGUCGCGAGUUCGACCCUCGU
rfam:Rachicladosporium antarcticum strain CCFEE 5527 scaffold_20, whole genome shotgun sequence.